rnacentral:rRNA from 1 species
GAUGAACGCUGGCGGCGUGCCUAAUACAUGCAAGUCGAGCGAACAGAUGAGGAGCUUGCUCCUCUGACGUUAGCGGCGGACGGGUGAGUAACACGUGGAUAACCUACCUAUAAGACUGGGAUAACUACGGGAAACCGGAGCUAAUACCGGAUAAUAUAUUGAACCGCAUGGUUCAAUAGUUAAAGACGGUUUUGCUGUCACUUAUAGAUGGAUCCGCGCCGCAUUAGCUAGUUGGUAAGGUAACGGCUUACCAAGGCAACGAUGCGUAGCCGACCUGAGAGGGUGAUCGGCCACACUGGAACUGAGACACGGUCCAGACUCCUAAGGGAGGCAGCAGUAGGGAAUCUUCCGCAAUGGGCGAAAGCCUGACGGAGCAACGCCGCGUGAGUGAUGAAGGUCUUCGGAUCGUAAAACUCUGUUAUUAGGGAAGAACAAAUGUGUAAGUAACUAUGCACGUCUUGACGGUACCUAAUCAGAAAGCCACGGCUAACUACGUG